UCCUUUAUCUCUAUGCAGCUCAUGCGGUAAGGAGCAACCGAAUUACGCUGGGUGCCUGGCUGUAGAUCUAUGGUGAACUCGACUUCCCUGCCCACUAGCAGUCCGGUAAUUCAUCCGAAAACACAUCUGGAAAGCUUUGGACUACUAGAAUCUCUUGAAUAUAAUUCUCUUUCUUGGGUUUGCCUAGUUAGAGAAAAUAGCAAGG
rnacentral:lncRNA from 1 species